rnacentral:rRNA from 1 species
AACGAACGCUGGCGGCAUGCCUAACACGUGCAAGUCGAACGAGACCUUCGGGUCUUGUGGCGCACGGGUGCGUAACGCGUGGGAACCUGCCCUUAGGUUCGGAAUAACUCCCCGAAAGGGGUGCUAAUACCGGAUAAUGUCUUCGGACCAAAGAUUUAUCGCCUUUGGAUGGGCCCGCGUUGGAUUAGCUAGUUGGUAGGGUAAAAGCCUACCAAGGUGACGAUCCAUAGCUGGUCUGAGAGGAUGAUCAGCCACACUGGGACUGAGACACGGCCCAGACUCCUACGGGAGGCAGCAGUGGGGAAUAUUGGACAAUGGGCGAAAGCCUGAUCCAGCAAUGCCGCGUGAGUGAUGAAGGCCUUAGGGUUGUAAAGCUCUUUUACCCGGGAUGAUAAUGACAGUACCGGGAGAAUAAGCUCCGGCUAACUCCGUG